UACGUAGGGUGCGAGCGUUAAUCGGAAUUACUGGGCGUAAAGCGUCCGCAGGUGGUUAUCCAAGUCUGCUGUUAAAGCGCGAGGCUUAACUUCGUACAGGCAGUGGAAACUGGGUGACUGGAGUAUGGUAGGGGUAGCGGGAAUUCCCAGUGUAGCGGUGAAAUGCGUAGAUAUUGGGAAGAACACCAGCGGCGAAAGCGCGCUACUGGGCCAUUACUGACACUCAUGGACGAAAGCUAGGGGAGCGAAAGGG
rnacentral:rRNA from 1 species